CAGAGGCAACUGGGCAGAAUAGCAGCUGGAGGAAGGUUGUUGCCUGUUGCUGUUAGGGGGAAACCAGGGACAUCUGCUACUACCUCUGCCUUGGGAGGCUUCAACAAGAUGCAGAGAAAAGCAGUUAUAGGUCACUUAGCCCAGAAUCCUAGGGGAAGUGGGAGUGCUGACUGCAUCUAAAUCUUGGAUAUUCCACGCAGAAGCAAUGGAACCUAGAAGCAGGAAGAGAGCAUGCUUCCCAUCCACCCAGAUCAGCAACACCCUCUCCUCCUAUUUCCAUCACAGCAACAGUCCCAGAUCUAGCCCUUAAAAGCCCUAGGUCCACCAGGAGGAUUCAGAUGACCACCAGCAGCAGGAGGAGGAGUUGCAAGCAGGACAGGAAGGUCUCAUACACCCUUGAAGUCAUCUGAGCAACCUGAUGUUGAAUUGUUUCUCGCCUAGAUUGUUGCAGAUGGACCACACCAGAUUGAGGGUCUGUUGGACCUGCUCCGGAGACGUGUCCUUGAUGAGCCAGUCAUUUAGAUACAGGAAGAUCUGGAUGCCUCAACGUCUCAGGUAAGCCACUACUGCUGCCACACACUUUGUGAUCACCCUGGGGGCUGAGGACAGGCCAAAGGGUAACACUCUGAACUGGAAGUGAUGCCCAGCCACUAUAAACACAGGAAGUGCCUGUGGCCUAGGACUAUGGAGACAUGAAAGUCAGCGCCCUUUAAAUUGAGAGUGGUGUAUCAGCCCCCCAGAUCCAGGGAAGAGAUGAUGGAGGGCAGGGAGACCAUGUGGAACUUCAGCUUCUUGAGAGACUUGUUGAGGCCAUGCAGGUCCCUUUUGGCCUUUGGGAUUAGGAAGUACAGUCCUCAUCCUUCCAUGUCCCGAGGAACCUCCAAGCCCUGGAGCUUCUCUACCUCAUGAAUGAGGAGUUGCUUGUGAGAAGGGUCCCUAAGAGGGACGGGAAAAUGAAGGGGCGGGAAGGAGGGGCGGCCAAGAACUGCAGGUUAUAGCCCCGAGCCAUUAUGUUCAGGACCCAGAGGUCCGAUGUAAUCCACGACCAAUCACUUCUGGCCCCUGGUUCUUUUGUGGUUCCAGGCUGGGCUGGCAAACAGGAGGAAGAAAGGCGACGAUGACUGAAACUAGCAUCCCCUCUCUGUGUAGGUCCCUGACGAGGCUUCCAGAGUGUUGGCCAGAAGGGCUUCCUGGCUGAUUGUGGCCUAUGCAUGCCCAACAAGAGAAGGGCAGCCUUAGUGUCCUUCAAUCCGUGCAGCUUGGCAUCCAUUUGAUCCGAGAACAGACCAACUAUGUCAAAAGGGAGGUCCUGGAUCGAGGCCUGCAUCUCCUGGGAGAGGCCUGCUAUCCGGAGCCAGGAACUACGUUGCAUGACCAUCACCGAUGUGACCACCUUUGCUGCUGAGUCCACCAUGUUCCAUGCGGUCUGCAGGGAGCAUCUGUCACCGUCAUACCCUUCUCCACCAGAGUUGCAAACUCUUGGGCCAAACCCUGAGGGAGGUAUUCCUGGAACUUUCUGAGACCAUCCCAGAGAUUAAAAUUGUAGCAGCCCUGCAGGGGCUGAUGGUUCGCUACCCAAAAUUGCAGGCUGGAGGUGGAAUAAAUUAUUCUCCCAAAUAAAUCAAGUUUCUUAGCCUUGUUGUUUGGGAGUCAAGGAGGUGGGGACCUGCUUGUCUUUUUCAUUGGCUGCAAAUACAACCAGCAAGCCCAGGGGCAGGUGGGUAUAGAGGUACUCAAAAUCUCUGGUCAGCACAAAGUACUUUUUCUCAGCCCAUUUUGAAGUGGACGGGAUGAAGGAUGGGGUCUGCAACAAGGCCUUGGCUAUCUUGAGGACUCCCUGGGAACGCGUAGAGGCUGAGAGAAUGUUGAAGAGGGUGUCCUCCUGCUCUGCCAUCUCCUGUACCUCAAGGCGAAAGUCCUCGGCCAUGCACCGUAGAAGGUCUAGAUGUUCUCUAAGUCAUCCAGCAGGCUAGCUCUGGAAGAUCCCACAACCGCCUCAUCUGGGGAUGACAAGGAAGACAGGACCUCCAGUGGAGGUGCUCGGAUCUUGACCACCACUGUAGAAAGAGGCUUUGGGGUGGGAAGAGGUUCCUCCACCCUGACCUCAGAACGGGCUUUUGGUACCAGGUCCAGUGCUGGUAGAGCCACCGUCCAAGCUUCCAUCGCAGGCACUGAGAAAUGCUAUGAAGGAGGCAUCAUCACAACCAGUACGCCCCAUGUGCUCCAAUAAGGCCACUGCGCUGGCCACUGACAAAGGUGCAUACAGGAGUUUGGGUCCCAUACCACUCCCAGGAGUCAGUGGCGGACCCUUAACAGGGCGGGGUGCCCCAGCUGGGGAGGAACGAUUGCGUAGCUCUGGAAUAGUCUGGUGGGCAGGUCCGAGUCCCUUGGUAGAUGACACCUGGGCCUUCUUGCUCAGUGCCAAGGAGCACUUCUUGGCCUUUUUCUUCGGCACUGGCAAAGGUGAACAGUGCCAGUAGGAGUUGGGUCCUGGAGGUGUGCUGCUCACGGAGGCCAAGGCACUUGGUGUGACCUGACUGGGUGGCUUGGAAGCCAGACAGAGGGGGCAGAUGUCUUGCUCUUUCUGGGUGCGGGGACAAAAGUUUUUGAAGACUCGCUACUGCCCAAAAUGUGUGACCACCAUGGGCAGUAAGAAUGAACUGAUAGGGCGUAGGGCUGGCGGCACCUGAUAUAUCCAGCAUGAGCGCAGCAUUCCAGAUAGGGUUGCCAGGUGUCUGGUUUUCGACCAGAACACCCAGUCGAAAAGGGACCUUGAAGGCUUCAGUC